GAUGAACGCUGGCGGCGUGCCUAAUACAUGCAAGUCGAGCGAACGGACGAGAAGCUUGCUUCUCUGAUGUUAGCGGCGGACGGGUGAGUAACACGUGGAUAACCUACCUAUAAGACUGGGAUAACUUCGGGCAACCGGAGCUAAUACCGGAUAAUAUUUUGAACCGCAUGGUUCAAAAGUGAAAGACGGUCUUGCUGUCACUUAUAGAUGGAUCCGCGCUGCAUUAGCUAGUUGGUAAGGUAACGGCUUACCAAGGCAACGAUGCAUAGCCGACCUGAGAGGGUGCUCGGCCACACUGGAACGGGGACACGGUCCAGACUCCUACGGGAGGCAGCAGUAGGGAAUCUUCCGCAAUGGGCGAAAGCCUGACGGAGCAACGCCGCGUGAGUGAUGAAGGUCUUCGGAUCGUAAAACUCUGUUAUUAGGGAAGAACAUAUGUGUAAGUAAAUGUGCACAUCUUGACGGUACCUAAUCAGAAAGCCACGGCUAACUACGUG
rnacentral:rRNA from 1 species